rnacentral:misc_RNA from 1 species
GAUGAAGAACGUAGCGAAAUGCGAUAAGUAAUGUGAAUUGCAGAAUUCAGUGAAUCAUCGAGUCUUUGAACGCACAUUGCGCCCCCUGGUAUUCCGGGGGGCAUGCCUGUCCGAGCGUCAUUGCUGCCCUCAAGCACGGCUUGUGUGUUGGGCCUCCGUCCUCCUCCCGGGGGACGGGCCCGAAAGGCAGCGGCGGCACCGCGUCCGGUCCUCGAGCGUAUGGGGCUUCGUCACCCGCUCUUGUAGGCCCGGCCGGCGCUUGCCGACACAUCAAUCUUUUUUCCAGGUUGACCUCGGAUCAGGUAGGGAUACUCGCUGAACUUAAGCAUAUCAAUAAGCGGAGGA